GGCUGGCAGGUAAUAGGCUGGUGGGAUAAAACCAGAGUCAGAAAACAAGAUGAUCAGACUGCUAAAACCAGGACAACUGGAGGGAGAGAGCCUACAUCUGGCACCAGACAGAGGCCUGCAGGGAAAGUGAGCCUUCUCAACAAGGCCUGCGUUCUUUCAAAGAGGGAACAAACGACAGACACCCAUUUUGGGUGUCUUCCCAGGCACAGGCACUGAAAUUACCCUCUGUUCUGGUGUGGGGCAAGGGUGGGACUAGAGGAGGCUGCCGGGACAAGCAUGGUCCUCCUCAUGCUGUUGCUUGUCACCUUUUAAGGGCAUUUAUUUUGUUCCUGUUCUGAUAAACAAGUAAUGAGAUUUUCUGUGGAGGACUGGAGAGAUCUUAAAAUAGUUUGACAGAUUU